UUCUAGGAGCUCCUGGGGAGGGGAGCAAAAUUUGAACGGUAAAUUCAAAAUAUUGGGUUCUUGGAUAUCAGAAGACAAAACGUUGUUUUAGUACUGUUCAAUAACCGGACUAUAAUCUUUUUUUAGACAGAAAUAAAUUGAAUACCAUUUAUUAUCGAUUUCGGGAACAGUAGAGGAUAAGAAGGUUGUUCUAUGAAGGUUUGAAUGUUCGGGAACUCUAGUUAAUCGGGACUAUUGGUUUGGGUAAUAAAUAAUUUUCCCAUCGUACAUUUCGAGAUCACCAAAUUUAUAUAUCUCCAUAGUAUUACAUAAAGAUUGUCAAUACAAGUCUGCCUUUUCGUCUGUAUUUCAUCUAUUCAAUAUUUAUUUUUUAUUCUUCUAAGAUACUUGAGACCGAAUUAAGGGAUUAUAAACAGAAUGUCCUAGAAUUUAAGCUUAAAGCCGGUUUACUUCAAUCAGACUUAAAGGUUUCCUGCUACUUAAAACUUAUGUAAAACAUAAUUUAGGUAAUUGAGGUAACCCUUUUCCAGAAAAAAAAAAUGCGACCUUUUAUCGUCGUUCAAGUCUCAUAUUUUUUGUGGGCAAACCUGUGGAUAUACAGGAUUAGUGGUUACCCGUCAAGAUUGAGACUUUUAGAACAAAUUGAAUUAAUUUUCUGCCUUAAAGGGAGUGUUCGCGAAAAAUGAAAGUGGGUACAGACAUACGGAGAA